CACGUAGGGUGCGAGCGUUGUCCGGAAUUAUUGGGCGUAAAGAGCUCGUAGGCGGUGUGUCGCGUCGGCCGUGAAAACCUGCAGCUUAACUGUGGGCUUGCGGUCGAUACGGGCAUCACUGGAGUUCGGCAGGGGAGACUGGAAUUCCUGGUGUAGCGGUGAAAUGCGCAGAUAUCAGGAGGAACGCCGGUGGCGAAAGCGGCUCUCUGGGACGGUACUGACGCUGAGACGCGAAAGCGUGGGGAGCGAACAGG
rnacentral:rRNA from 1 species